rnacentral:lncRNA from 1 species
UAUUCCCAGCUGGACAGAAAGCCCCUGAACCUGCUUGGAUGAUGAGGAAGACAAUGUAUUCCUGGGGACCCUUCGCAGGAAGAGGCAGCAAGUGGGAGCAAAUGGCCGGGGAAAAUGCAAGGAUGCUGCCCAAGGCCACGCACGAGGAGAGAAAGAAGCAGGAAUUGAAGAGGAGAGGGAAACUGAAAACCAUGGCAGGCAAAUUGCUAAAGGCUGUGGCUAGUGGGAAAGAGAUAGUGGAGGAGAAGGCUGGCGGUGAGGAUGUGGCAAGGAGUUUGCUGAAGAUGGAAACCAGUAGGAAGAGAGCGGGGGGAGAGAUGCCUGCAGAGGAAACCAUCUGUGGAUUCAUUGAGCAAGGAAAAUUUUUUGAAGCUUGUGAUUAUAUUUAUGAUCUGGAGCAUUCUGGUAAAGAUGGCAUGGAAAAGUCUGAAUCACUUUAUAUGCUACUGGCUGAACGAAUGUGGACUGUGGUGGGAGAAGCACUCAGUGGAAACGGUAGGAUGUUCCUGGAGCCAUUGCAGUCAGUAGGGGAAUCACUGAAGUGGGAGAAGCAGAAGGAAGCGGAGUUGCUUGGCAGCAGCCAAGAGACAAAGUCUGUUUCCACCUGGAGCCCAAACUUCUGGAGGAAAGAUCUGGAGGAAAAACUAAUACAGUACCUGACAGCCCAGAUUCCCAUGUUUUGUUCUUCUGAUAACACAGACGAGGAUGCACUAAAACAGCAUCUGAGUCAGCUGGAAACAACAUUUCUCCCCAGCCUGGAGCAAAGAAGCGAUGUCUUCAAGGAAGCAGGACUGCUCGUCACCUACGCCUGCUGCUGUCAUGCCUCUUUGUCUUCUCACCUUUCCACGCUUACUGACAGUAACCAUUUCAGCUUCAGCCAAUGUCUUUCAGUUUAUGAAUGGAGCCUUAAAAUGCACAAAAGUGGCAGCGAGACGUGUCUGAAUCCCAGGCAGAUCUCCCAGCACAGCCUUUCCCUUGGUGUGCAGUGUCUCAUGUGGAUUAUUUUGAAGACUGAGGAAAAGUUACUUGCAUUUGCCCGGGUAAGGACUCAGGAGUUUACCCUAAUCUGCCUGUUUUAUUCCCACAGUUGUAAAAUAAGGAAUGGCUUUGUUGAAUUAGCUGUUCCCUUGCUAGCUGAGCCAGCUCUGCUCAGGUAG